rnacentral:rRNA from 1 species
ACGAAGGGUACGAGCGUUAUUCGGAUUUACUGGGCGUAAAGAGCGUGUAGGCGGUUAGUUAAGUCAGUUGUUAAAUUCCCCGGCCUAACUGGGGACCCGCAACUGAAACUGGCUAGCUAGAGUGCAAGAGAGAGAAGUAGAAUUCCCGGAGUAGCGGUAAAAUGCGUAGAUCUCGGGAGGAAUACCGAUGGCGAAGGCAGCUUCUUAGCUUGUAACUGACGCUAAAGCGCGAAAGCGUGGGGAGCAAACAG